UACGGAGGGUGCAAACGUUGCUCGGAAUCAUUGGGCGUAAAGCGCACGUAGGCGGCCCGUUAAGUCGGAUGUGAAAAUCCCCGGGAGCUCAACUCCGGGAACAGCAUUUGAAAACUGCUUUUUCUAGAGGGUAGGCGGAGAAAACGGGAAUUCCACAAGUAGCGGUGAAAUGCGUAGAUAUGUGGAAGAAACACCAGUGGCGAAGGCGGUUUUCUAGCUUACACCUGACGCUGAGGCGCGAAAGCAAGGGGAGCAAACAGGG
rnacentral:rRNA from 1 species